GUACUACUCCUUCCGUCCAAAAAUACUUGUCAUCAAAAUGGAUAAAAAGAUAUGUAUCUAGAACUAAAAUACAUCUAGAUACAUCUCCUUUUAUCCGUUUUGAUGACAAGUAUUUUCGGACGGAGGGAGUACUAC
rnacentral:pre_miRNA from 1 species